UCUCAGUUCAGUUACUGAAUCGCGUUCUUCGAGUAGGCUUGAAAUGUUUCGUGGACUUGUACUAAUCGUUUGCUGCCUUGUACUUCAGCAAGCAGUAGGCUCCAAGGCUCAGAUUGUGCCCAAUAUUCUAGUACAAUAGAUACAAUUUUCAAUAAAGGAUAUCCUGAUAGGAGUAAUACAUCUGGAAUCAUCGAUAUUGGAAGAGCGCGGAGGAGCCCAAAAACGUCUAAUUUCGGACUAAACUGCGAUUUUGAUUUACCUCCAUCGGUAAGAAUUGCAACUUUAUUCGAAGGGAUUUUAAAUACCUAUUUGUUCCUUAGGAGGAUGGAUAUAUCAGAUAUAUCAGUUCCUGAUAUCUACUGCGGAAUAGGUGGAUUUAACAUAACAAGUACUGCAAAAAUGUUAUCAGUAUCUGUGACUGUUAGACGGGGGUACUGCGGGAGAUACGUAUGUUUUUUUGUUGCUCACUAAACACUUAACUAACACUAAUAUGGUGAAAUAAAAUUGUAUAUGUGAGCGUCGAAAAUGCUUCACAUUUAUCAUGGCUCGAAA
rnacentral:lncRNA from 1 species